rnacentral:pre_miRNA from 1 species
CUUGUACUCCCUCCGUUCUAAAAUAGAUGACCCAACUUUGUAAUAACUUUGUACUAAAGUUAAUACAAAGUUGGGUCAUCUAUUUUGGAACGGAGGGAGUAUCUG